AACGAACGCUGGCGGCAUGCCUAACACAUGCAAGUCGAACGAGACCUUCGGGUCUAGUGGCGCACGGGUGCGUACCGCGUGGGAACCUGCCCUUAGGUUCGGAAUAACUCCCCGAGAGGGGUGCUAAUACCGGCUAAUGUCUUCGGCCCAAAGGUUUAUCGCCAUUGGAUGGGCCCGCGUUGGAUUAGCCAGUUGGUAGGGUAAAAGCCUACCAAGGCGACGAUCGAUAGCUGGUCUGAGAGGAUGAUCAGCCACACUGGGACUGGGACACGGCCCAGACUCCUACGGGAGGCAGCAGUGGGGGAUAUUGGACUAUGGGCGGAAGCCUGAUCCAGCAAUGCCGCGUGAGUGAUGAAGGCCUUAGGGUUGUAAAGCUCUUUUACCCGGGAUGAUAAUGACGGUACCGGGAGAAUAAGCUCCGGCUAACUCCGUG
rnacentral:rRNA from 1 species